rnacentral:rRNA from 1 species
CCUAAUUGCGACGCGGAGGGACAUUGCUGGAGCGCCGCAAG